GAUGCCCCUCGAGGCGUUGCAGCUCAGCUGAGUGCUGCAGCUGUGUCAGGAGGUGGCAGAGAGAAAACCGCUGGCGGUCUGCACCGAUUCUCUACGCCUCAGAGGACUCGGAGUCAUUCCCACCACCAACA
ensembl:snoRNA